rnacentral:rRNA from 1 species
AUGCAACGCGAAGAACCUUACCUGGUCUUGACAUCCACGGAAGUUUUCAGAGAUGAGAAUGUGCCUUCGGGAACCGUGAGACAGGUGCUGCAUGGCUGUCGUCAGCUCGUGUUGUGAAAUGUUGGGUUAAGUCCCGCAACGAGCGCAACCCUUAUCCUUUGUUGCCAGCGGUCCGGCCGGGAACUCAAAGGAGACUGCCAGUGAUAAACUGGAGGAAGGUGGGGAUGACGUCAAGUCAUCAUGGCCCUUACGACUAGGGCUACACACGUGCUACAAUGGCGCAUACAAAGAGAAGCGACCUCGCGAGAGCAAGCGGACCUCAUAAAGUGCGUCGUAGUCCGGAUUGGAGUCUGCAACUCGACUCCAUGAAGUCGGAAUCGCUAGUAAUCGUGGAUCAGAAUGCCACGGUGAAUACGUUCCCGGGCCUUGUACACACCGCCCGUCACACCAUGGGAGUGGGUUGCAAAAGAAGUAGGUAGCUUAACCUUCGGGAGGGCGCUUACCACUUUGUGAUUCAUGACUGGGGUGAAGUCGUAACAAGGUAACCGUAGGGGAACCUGCGGUUGGAUCACCUCCUUA